AUAAAGAGCAACCUCAUCGGUUAGCCCUAAUCUCCUACCCGGACAGCAGCAGUCUAUCCUCACCCUCUCCCUUCCUUGUAGCCGCGCUCUCUCCGUCGGUCUUCAUGCAGUAGCAGCACGCACCAACAACCGCCUUAUCGUUCUCCGUUUUCUCCUCUCCAUCUGGAUAAAGAAGAAAAAUAACCCAGUUCCUCCACGUUGUUUCAAUUUUGAGUAGGGAUUCGGCGUCACAGCGGGUUGAGGUGGGGGAGGAGAUCGAUGAGCCAGAGGAGGCCAUUCCUAUUCCAUCUUCCAAAGCAAUUAGGAUUGAAAAGGCAUUCAAUUUAGCUGCACAAAAGAUGGGAUUUAAAUUUGUGUCCAAGAAUUGAGGCACAAUUCUGCUGCACCGUGUUGAGGAGAAAGUGA